rnacentral:rRNA from 1 species
GAUGAACGCUAGCGGCAGGCUUAACACAUGCAAGUCGAGGGGUAUUGGUUUUCGGACCAAGAGACCGGCGCACGGGUGCGUAACGCGUAUGCAAUCUACCUUUUGCAGAGGGAUAGCCCAGAGAAAUUUGGAUUAAUACCUCAUAGUAUAGUAGUUUCGCAUGAAACGACUAUUAAAGCUCCAACGGCAAAAGAUGAGCAUGCGUCCCAUUAGCUAGUUGGUAAGGUGACGGCUCACCAAGGCAACGAUGGGUAGGGGUCCUGAGAAGGAGAUCCCCCACGCUGGAACUGAGACACGGACCAGACUCCUACGGGAGGCAGCAGUGAGGAAGAUUGGACAAUGGGCGCAAGCCUGAUCCAGCCAUGCCGCGUGCAGGAUGACGGUCCUAUGGAUUGUAAACUGCUUUUGUACAGGAAGAAACACUCCCUCGUGAGGGGGCUUGACGGUACUGUAUGAAUAAGGAUCGGCUAACUCCGUGCCAGCCGCCGCCGUAA